GAUGAACGCUGGCGGCGUGCCUAAUACAUGCAAGUCGAGCGAACAGACGAGGAGCUUGCUCCUCUGACGUUAGCGGCGGACGGGUGAGUAACACGUGGAUAACCUACCUAUAAGACUGGGAUAACUUCGGGAAACCGGAGCUAAUACCGGAUAAUAUAUUGAACCGCAUGGUUCAAUAGUGAAAGACGGUUUUGCUGUCACUUAUAGAUGGAUCCGCGCCGCAUUAGCUAGUUGGUAAGGUAACGGCUUACCAAGGCGACGAUGCGUAGCCGACCUGAGAGGGUGAUAGGCCACACUGGAAGUGGAACACGGACCAGACGCCUACGGGAGGCAGCAGUAGGGAAUCUUCCGCAAUGGGCGAAAGCCUGACGGAGCAACGCCGCGUGAGUGAUGAAGGUCUUCGGAUCGUAAAACUCUGUUAUUAGGGAAGAACAAAUGUGUAAGUAACUAUGCACGUCUUGACGGUACCUAAUCAGAAAGCCACGGCUAACUACGUG
rnacentral:rRNA from 1 species